AUUGAACGCUAGCGGCAUGCUUUACACAUGCAAGUCGAACGAGUGGCGGACGGGUGAGUAAUAUAUCGGAACCUGCCCUGUAGCGGGGGAUAACUACUCGAAAGGGUGGCUAAUACCGCCUACUAUUUGAGGUGCCCAUAUGGGAUUAGCUAGUUGGUGGGGUAAUGGGUCACCCAGGCCACGAUCCCUAGCUGGUUUGAGAGGAUGACCAGCAACACUGGGACUGAGAAACGGCCCAGACUCCUACGGGAGGCAGCAGUGGGGAAUAUUGGACAAUGGGCGAAAGCCUGAUGCAGCCAUGACGCGUGUGUGAUGAAGGCCUUCGGGUUGUAAAGCACUUUUAGCGGGGAGGCGGUACUCGCAGAAGAAGCACCGGCUAACUACGUGCCAGCAGCCGCGGUAAUAC
rnacentral:rRNA from 1 species